rnacentral:tRNA from 2 species
GGAGAGGUGCCAGAGUGGCUGAAUGGACUGGUUUCGAAAACCAGCGUGGGGCAACCUACCGGGGGUUCAAAUCCCUCCCUCUCCGCCA